GGUGGUGGUUUGUUAUAUUUAUUUGCGUAUUUAUUUUUGCGGUGGGAGGGUGUAUUAACGGGUUAGCACUGAUUGACUAGCACGUUAUUUUUUCGCGGAUUAGCGAAGUAAUAUUUUGGUUUUAAUUAAUAUGGAUUUCCGCAAAGUAACGCCUGAUUCUAUUCAUUAUUU